rnacentral:rRNA from 1 species
ACGAACGCUGGCGGCAUGCCUAACACAUGCAAGUCGAACGAGACCUUCGGGUCUAGUGGCGCACGGGUGCGUAACGCGUGGGAACCUGCCCUUAGGUUCGGAAUAACUCCCCGAAAGGGGUGCUAAUACCGGAUAAUGUCUUCGGACCAAAGAUUUAUCGCCUUUGGAUGGGCCCGCGUUGGAUUAGCUAGUUGGUAGGGUAAAAGCCUACCAAGGCGACGAUCCAUAGCUGGUCUGAGAGGAUGAUCAGCCACACUGGGACUGAGACACGGCCCAGACUCCUACGGGAGGCAGCAGUGGGGAAUAUUGGACAAUGGGCGAAAGCCUGAUCCAGCAAUGCCGCGUGAGUGAUGAUGGCCUUAGGGUUGUAAAGCUCUUUUACCCGGGAUGAUAAUGACAGUACCGGGAGAAUAAGCGCCGGCUAACUCCGUG